GCGGCUUCUCACUCUCCGUCUCUCAUGUUCCUCUGCUCUCCACCCUAUCGUUCUCUCUCCCCCAGUCCCUAAUCGCGGCAGCACUCGGCGGCAGCGGCCCGGCACAGGCGCCCCACGGCACGGCAGCCUGGGCAGGCUCUAGCUACGGCCGACCUGGCACGGCAGCCUGAGCCUCAGCACCCUUCGGAUCUGGUGGUUCCUGCGAUGGCGCCCCAAAGCGCGGCUACCUGAGCGGGCUUUGCUUGCGAUGGUCCUGAUGCAUCAGCCUACGUGUGAGCGCUCACCGGAUCUGGUGAUUCCGCUGUCGUCCCCUCCUAUCUCCUCUCUUUGUGGGUUGUGGCAUGGGGUUCCCACCGCUGGCCACUCGAGUUGCCGCUUCGGUGACUCCGUCUGUACAUCAUAUUAAUACUUCAUUUGUUGCCCGACAUGUGCAUGCAUGGACCCACCUGUAUGAUACCCAAAGAAAACAAACAUGGUGGACGUACAUACUACUGCACCAUCGGAAGGCCAAUCUCGAUAGAGUUUCAUUAGAGUUUUAUAGACAUUAAAUAUAUUGAUAUGACACCAUAUUAAUGAAGAGAGAGAUCAUAAGAGUUUUAUGGAAGUAGAGAGAGUUUCAUGCAGAUAAAACUCUUCUGUACUGUUUCCAAAAUAUUGGUGUCUUGGAAACUGGGUCAUGAAACUUCCACUGAGGAUGACCUAAUUGGAUGGCGUGACCACGAGAUGCGAUGCCAAGUUAGAAGGUCAAAAGAACUAAAACUCUGAACCGGACGGUACUCCUUGCUAAGGCCGUCAGGGGGGCCACCCGAGCUGCAAAUUAUGUGGAAAUAAGCCAGAGACACCAAGUCACCUCUGUCUGAACUGCCUAUUUACUAAACAAGUCUGGUCAGACCUAAAGCACUGGCUGAACCUGUCACUGCUCAAUGUAGUAACGAUGUCAGACACACUUCAUGGAUUUUGGUGAAGGUGUCGAGCCAUGUUUGAUAAGAACCACAAGAGAAUUUUUUAUGAAGUCAUGAUCUAUAUUUGGUGGAACAUAUGAAAGGAAUGGAAACGAUCCAUGCAAGCAAGUCAAGUAGCUAUGCUCUGUAAAGAUGAUAUUACACAAUUCCAUCUAGCAUCGAGGGAACCCGUUCAUGAAGGAGUGGAAGGUUUCUUUUUCCUUUUUUUCCUCCCAAGUGCUUUUCUUGUUAGUGGUUUCACCCUCUUCUAUGGCGGGGUUGUUCCUUCUCGCUCUCUGUGUUAUGCCUAGGGGUCCUUAUGUAUUGGUAGUUUCAAGUCGAAGGUUUUUAAUUCAGAUAGUGGUCAGAGUAGAGGUGUUUUGUAGCCAAAGUGUGGCUGUUGUAACUUUUUUCCUCGUCUAAUAAAAAUUUGGCAAAUC